GACGAACCGAGCGAACGUUGUUCGGAAUAACUGGGCUUAAAGGGCGCGUAGGCGGGCCAUCAAGUCAGGGGUGAAAGCCCCCAGCUCAACUGGGGAAGUGCCUCUGAUACUGGUGGCCUCGAGGGAGGUAGGGGCGUGCGGAACUUCCGGUGGAGCGGUGAAAUGCGUAGAUAUCGGAAGGAACACCGGUGGCGAAAGCGGCGCGCUGGACCUCUUCUGACGCUGAGGCGCGAAAGCCAGGGGAGCGAACAGG
rnacentral:rRNA from 1 species